AAAACUUCUACUUACUUAGGUAUAAGUAUAACAGCAUGCCAUUUUAGAAUGAGAGCAUAAUAUAAUAUUUUGCGGAGGAGUUCGUGUGGUGAGACUUAUUUUUUUUACAGGAUGCAGCCACUACGAUUUCUUUUCGCACUACUUGUAGCAAUACUGGCCACCACCGUGCUGUGUUACCCUGGCAAGCAAAUUCUGCGACAAGAGGAUGCAGCUGGUGGGGAUGCAGCUGGUGGGGAUGCAGCUGGUGGGGAUGCAGCUGGUGGGG